GCGAGUGAAGCGGUAACAGCUCAAAUUUGAAAUCUGGGUCUUUUAGGCUCCGAGUUGUAAUUUGUAGAAGAUGCUUCGGGUGCGGCGCCGGUCUAAGUCCCUUGGAACAGGGCGUCAUAGAGGGUGAGAAUCCCGUAUGUGAUCGGUUGCCUGUGCCCGUGUGAAGCUCUUUCGACGAGUCGAGUUGUUUGGGAAUGCAGCUCUAAAUGGGUGGUAAAUUUCAUCUAAAGCUAAAUAUUGGCCAGAGACCGAUAGCGCACAAGUAGAGUGAUCGAAAGAUGAAAAGCACUUUGGAAAGAGAGUUAAACAGUACGUGAAAUUGUUGAAAGGGAAGCGCUUGCAACCAGACUUGCGCGUUGUCGAUCAUCCGAGGUUCUCCCCGGUGCACUCGACCUCGCUCAGGCCAGCAUCGGUUUCGGUGGUUGGAUAAAGGCCUUGGGAAUGUAGCUUCUUUCGGGGAGUGUUAUAGCCCUCGGUGCAAUGCAGCCUACCGGGACCGAGGACCGCGCUUCGGCUAGGAUGCUGGCGUAAUGGUUGUAAGCGACCCGUCUUGAAACACGGACCAAGGAGUCUAACAUCUAUGCGAGUGUUUGGGUGUCAAACCCAUACGCGUAAUGAAAGUGAACGGAGGUGAGAACCCUUAAGGGUGCAUCAUCGACCGAUCCUGAUGUCUUCGGAUGGAUUUGAGUAAGAGCAUAGCUGUUGGGACCCGAAAGAUGGUGAACUAUGCCUGAAUAGGGUGAAGCCAGAGGAAACUCUGGUGGAGGCUCGCAGCGGUUCUGACGUGCAAAUCGAUCGUCAAAUUUGGGUA
rnacentral:rRNA from 1 species